UCAGCGGCGACGACAUUGCGCAUUUCUGCUUAGCUGCACAUAGAAACUGAAUCUUGGCACUUUCAAAAUGGCUAACUGGGCCAUUAAAACCAUUGACGGGCAUACGUCAAACUGAUGCUGAUGGCCGUAGCCCAUCGUCUUGGCCAGCUGCCUCUUAUCGGGCCGAACACGUUUUGUCCUUAAACGUUUUACAGCUACCAACUGUCGGGCAGGAGUCCCUAUCCUCCGGCCACGGAACUGGUGAUGGCAUCCAACGAAAGGCUGCUGGAAGGAACACCCAUUUAACAAGUCAACCCGUGCGGGCAAGACCAUAAAUAUUGGCAAUUUAACAGAGUCAACAGUAUGGCACUCGACGGCACAACUCCGACUGGGGGACACUGGGCAUUUGGCUGCCGGGGUUGGGGUCCCUGGAUUGGGGGUCCAUAAUACACCUUGUCGUACACGAUCCUUAUCUCUUGGAAUUUCUCGUGCGUGUCUGGCGUGCCAAAAAGUAUAAAAAUAAAGCACAAGGAACCUCAAGAAGCCAAUUGAAGAUCAUCGAAUGCUGGUUGAACUACAUAUUAUGUACAUAUAUCAUAUCAAU
ensembl:ncRNA lncRNA:CR44776 long non-coding RNA:CR44776